AACGAACGCUGGCGGCAGGCUUAACACAUGCAAGUCGAGCGCCCCGCAAGGGGAGCGGCAGACGGGUGAGUAACGCGUGGGAAUCUACCCAUCUCUACGGAAUAACGCAUGGAAACGUGUGCUAAUACCGUAUACGUCCUUCGGGAGAAAGAUUUAUCGGAGAUGGAUGAGCCCGCGUUGGAUUAGCUAGUUGGUGGGGUAAAGGCCUACCAAGGCGACGAUCCAUAGCUGGUCUGAGAGGACGAUCAGCCACACUGGGACUGAGACACGGCCCAGACUCCUACGGGAGGCAGCAGUGGGGAAUAUUGGACAAUGGGCGCAAGCCUGAUCCAGCCAUGCCGCAUGAGUGAUGAAGGCCCUAGGGUUGUAAAGCUCUUUCACCGGUGAAGAUAAUGACGGUAACCGGAGAAGAAGCCCCGGCUAACUUCGUGCCAGCAGCCGCCGUAAUAC
rnacentral:rRNA from 1 species